AGAGUUUGAUCCUGGCUCAGAACGAACGCUGGCGGCGCGUUUUAAGCAUGCAAGUCGGACGGUAGAAAGGUGCUUGCACCUUUUGAGAGUGGCGAACGGGUGAGUAACACGUAGAUAAUCUACCUUAGGAUUGGGGAUAGCCCAUGGAAACAUGGAUUAAUACCGAAUAAGUCUUUAGUAACACAAGUUAUUAAAGGGAAAGGCGCUGAGGCGCCGUCCUUAGUUGAGUCUGCGGUCCAUUAGUUAGUUGGUGGGGUAACGGCCUACCAAGGCAUCGAUGGAUAGCCGGCCUGAGAGGGUGAUCGGCCACACUGGGACUGAGAUACGGCCCAGACUCCUACGGGAGGCAGCAGCUAAGAAUCUUCCGCAAUGGGCGCAAGCCUGACGGAGCGACGCCGCGUGAAUGAUGAAGGCCGUGAGGUUGUAAAAUUCUUUUCUUGGGGAGGAAUAAUUUCAGGAGGGAAUGCCUGAGAGAUGACGUUAUCCAAGGAAUAAGCCCCGGCUAAUUACGUGCCAGCAGCCGCGGUAACACGUAAGGGGCAAGCGUUGUUCGGAAUCAUUGGGCGUAAAGGGCGUGUAGGCGGUUAUGCAAGUCUGGUGUGAAAUCCCCCAGCUCAACUGGGGAUGCGCGCUGGAAACUGUUUAACUAGAGUGUAGGAGGGGAAGCUGGAAUUCCUGGUGUAGGGGUGAAAUCUGUAGAUAUCAGGAAGAACACCGGUGGCGAAGGCGAGCUUCUGGCCAUACACUGACGCUGAGGCGCGAAAGCGUGGGGAGCGAACAGGAUUAGAUACCCUGGUAGUCCACGCUGUAAACGAUGUGCACUAGGUGUUGGACAUAUAUAAGUUCAGUGCCGUAGCAAACGCGUUAAGUGCACCGCCUGGGGAGUAUGCCCGCAAGGGUGAAACUCAAAGGAAUUGACGGGGGCCCGCACAAGCGGUGGAGCAUGUGGUUUAAUUCGACGAUACGCGAGAAACCUUACCAGGGCUUGACAUAUACAGGAAUACUGCAGAGAUGUAGUAGCCGCUUGCGGUCUGUAUACAGGUGCUGCAUGGCUGUCGUCAGCUCGUGCUGUGAAGUGUUGGGUUAAGUCCCGCAACGAGCGCAACCCCUGCUGUCUGUUGCCAUCACGUAAUGGUGGGAACUCAGGCGGUACUGCCGGUGACAAACCGGAGGAAGGUGGGGAUGACGUCAAGUCAUCAUGGCCCUUAUGUCCUGGGCUACACACGUGCUACAAUGGCCGGUACAGAGUGCUGCGAACCCGUAAGGAGGAGCAAAUCACACAAAGCCGGCCUCAGUUCGGAUUGGAGUCUGAAACUCGACCUCAUGAAGGUGGAAUCGCUAGUAAUCGCGCAUCAGCAUGGCGCGGUGAAUACGUUCCCGGGCCUUGUACACACCGCCCGUCACACCACCCGAGUUAGGGGUACCCGAAGUCGCUAGUCUAACCUGUCAAGGGAGGACGGUGCCGAAGGUAUGCCUGGUAAGGGGGGUGAAGUCGUAACAAGGUA
rnacentral:rRNA from 1 species